rnacentral:tRNA from 2 species
AGAGAUUUAAGUUAAUAGACUAAAGGCCUUCAAAGCCUAAAGAAGAAGCUUAAACCUUCUAAUUCUG